GUGGGUGGAGUCAGGCUCUGACCAGGGGUUUAGUUACACUUUAAGCUGUCUCUCAGUGGGCGGUCUCUACCCACCAGGAUGAAAGGCCUUUUCCUAUUGGUCACUCUCGAUUGAAGUCACAGGUUGACCACGCCCACUCAGUUUUCCCGGAAUCCGCUGCACUGCCGCCGCAGUCUGACAGAAGAGCGAGCGAGGGUGCGUCAUGACGAGCAACAGGUCGUGUACUUGGAAGAUUUGGUGUUGAUGGAGGAGGCAACAUCUUCAAGGCAAAACCUUAGACCUGAUGCAACAUCAUCCAGUGUCAAAAUCACCCUUUAGGAGGCACUUGAAGACCAGUGCCCAAUAUGCACAGGAACAUUUCCAGUGUCAGAAGUAGACCUGCCAGGCCAGCUUUUGUGGAGAAAGGUAAUGGUAAUAGGGACUCACAUUUUUUUUUUUUUUGAGCAUAAAACAUUUUUAAAGCAUGUAUUGAAUAUCUGUGUACUAUACUCAUAUCUUGUGUUUUUUUUUUAAGGUGGCUGGAAUAACAACCCUAAUGCCAGCCAGUUCAAUUAUAUCUUUAGGAAGCUGAUGGCCUGGUGUGGGGUUGUUAAACCAUGCAGAGGCAAUGUGACAGCACAGGAUGACCCAGAGUCCCUACCAGCUGUCAUCGACACCUCUAUAAGCCUGUCAGCUGUAGAUAUGUCCUCUGCAGCAGGAGGAGAAGAUCUUCCAUCCCUGUUUGCUGACAUUCCUGCCCUAGUACAUGACCACAGCUACCUUCCUGUCCGCUUCGAUGGUCUUGUGGACAACGCUCUCGUGUACAUUUCAGAUUUCAGGGUUUGUUGUGCGACGGCUCUGAAGAAGCUGUCGUGUGAUGUCUGCCGUGCCAGCCUGGUGACAGACGCUGCAUCUGCCAUCAAGGACCAGAGCUACCACCUGCUGACCUUAAAAAACAAUGGAGGUCUGGAGAUGCCCUCAGAAGACACAGUGAGGGUCGUCAGGGAAGCAGAGAGGGUCAUUCNUACUGCAUUUUGUUGUUCUUUCAGUCAUUUAUUAAUAAUGGCUAAUAAAUGGGAAGCCUCGCUUA
ensembl:lncRNA